rnacentral:rRNA from 1 species
UACAGAGGGUGCAAGCGUUAAUCGGAUUUACUGGGCGUAAAGCGUGUGUAGGUGGCUUCUUAAGUCGAUUGUGAAAUCCCUGGGCUCAACCUGGGAAUUGCAGUCGAUACUGGGAAGCUAGAGUUCGGUAGAGGGUGACGGAAUUCCCGGUGUAGCAGUGAAAUGCGUAGAUAUCGGGAGGAACAUCGAUGGCGAAGGCAAUCACCUGGGCCUGGACUGACACUGUGACACGAAAGCGUGGGUAGCAAACAGG